rnacentral:lncRNA from 1 species
ACCCGCGUCCCCUUCUGCAAGCUGAGCCAGGCAAGGGGGCGCCCAAAGCCGCUGACCGGGCUCGGCAGCGUCCGAGGGGCGUCCAGACCCGCCGCCUUGGCUGGCUGGAAGGAGCAGGGUCCGGGGGCGCCCAGUCCCGCUCACUGCGCCGGGCUUAGGUGAAGGAGACGGGUCGGUAACGCAGCCGGGCGCGGCGGCAUCCCGCUGAGGGCGCAGAGCCCUGGAGAGGGUCCCCCAGCGCUGGAAGCGGGUGUGCGCUCCCGCUGCACAGGGCACCGGCCGCUCCCGCAACGCCGGCACGGUGGGAUCAUUUGCAGUUAUCUGAACUAGAAUGUAACCAACUGAAAAGGUUUCAUUUUCUAACAGACUGUUGAGGAGAACCAUUGCCUGGAUGUCCAUCAUGUCUAAUUUUAUGGACCUACCUAAGGUAAUUUCCCAAAUCCAUGUCCACGUCUGUCAGAAAUCCAGACUAAAUGGAGACAGUGAACCUUUUAGAACCAAGCUGGAGGAACACUACUGCGCUCAGUCUAACUACUAUACCAAUAGACACUGGUAAAAUUUCCUAAUUUUAGAGAAAAGCACAAUACUAAAGUUUUCUAAGCAAAGAGAAAAGAUUUAAAGCCUACCUGAAGAGUAAAGGGCCUUAUAUCUCUUCUGAACAACAUCUUUAAGAGCAGCUACUAUUCCUCCAUCGUUGGGUGACUGUGGUGAUGUUGGACUUGGAGUCACCUAUUUAAAUUUAAAUUAAAUUAAAUUUAAAUAGGAGUGAUCAUUUAGACUUGUAUAAUGGAGCUAUUAAGACCAGAAAUAUGGAGUUAUGUUUAAGUUACUAUUUAUUAAGUUAGGCAAGAAUGUAUUUAGUAAAGAUUCAACAUGUUCUUUAAGUGUAUUAUAUGAUGAUUAAUUGGUUGGCCAAAAUAAGAAAUAAAAUUUGUUUUAGUUCAAUAACUCUGCA